rnacentral:lncRNA from 1 species
GUUUCCCUACACAAGCUCUCUUCUCUUGUCUGCCACCAUGUGAGGCAUGACUUUCUUUCACCUUCUGCCAUGAUUGUGAGACCUGCCCCAGCCACAUGGAACUAAGAACAGUAAAACAGACUUGUUAUUGGCAGCCCAUUAGUGCUCAGGAGAGGCGGUCUCCAGCAUGACAUCAGCCGGCGGCUCGACCCAAAUCUAGUAUUUCACCAGAGAGCCUAACGCUGCUGGCUUUCCAACUGUGUGGAAGACGAUACAGGCGUAACAAAGACAAGGAUGAAAUAAGUCCUGUGAUGGAGAGACAAGCAAAAUUCUACCUGACUUCACAGGAGGAAGAAGUGUGCUGUGCCAGGGGGAACAGGAGAAAGCUUCAUGGAAGAGCUUCCAACGGAGCCAUUUUACUUUUACCAACUCGAAUUUGAUGACCAACCAAAGAGAGAAAGAAGUAAAUGACUACUACUAGGAAUCUAUGAUGUUCUAAACCCUUUGCUAAAUGUUCACUUUUGCUAAAUUGUUUCACCACAUGCCUAUUAUUUAGGUAGUUUCAUCUCCAUUUUACAGAUGGAGAGUUACGCUGUAAUAUCUGGACCACCUAAGUUGGUUCUCCAUGUUUCAUCUGAUUGCCUAGCCUGUAAUACCAUUAUAUGUUGCCCUAUUGCAACUUCUGUCUUUCCAAAUUAAAGAAUCGAUACUCCAUGUCGGUGUAUGUGGAGAAGAGGGAUAGAUAUCUAAACAUGUUGGCUGGAAACCACUAUAUCUUUCAUCAAGUAUUAUUAAGACCUAUAAUGUUCUCAGCACUGUAGGGAGCAAGUGGAAAGAGGGCUCUCACCUGCAAGGACACUGCUACCUGUUUUGGGAUACACAGAAAAACAUGUCCACUUGCCUUCCACUUGUCUUCCUUGCAGCUGAGUCCCAG